AAAAAUCCUAACAGUGGUGCAGGUGUGGCUGCUGUGUCAUGUGUGCAUCAGUAAGUAGCAGAAAGGAAUUCUGUCUACAGAGUUCUGACCUAUGAAUGAACAUCAGAAUGAUUAGUAGCCUAAAAUA